AGUUGGAAAUGGCUAAAAGUGCAGUUUGGUAGGGUCUCAUCCCCAAGACUGAUGGCGAGGGAGGUGUCAUCUCUACGUUUUUAACUGCUGUCCCUCAGUUGAGACUGAUUAACGUAACUUCUACAUUGGGAAUUGUUGGUCUAGCGUGAAGGUGCUCAAAAUAAAACCUUAAAACAAAA